UGUUACUCUAGGCGUUAAGUACAAGCCAGCUUAGUGGUUUUGCCGGGCAACUACGUUCUAACGAGUAAAAGCCAAAGUACCUGGCGGUUUAAGAUAUCUCGUCUCGUGAGACUUGACGGUUAAUCCGAUGAUCCGCGUUACACCCUACCCGUUUUAGCGAGUGGUCCUACAGUUGGUGUAUGGUCGUUGUCAGCUCUUGUUGUGAGGCGCUGAGGAAUGGAAGCAUAAUUCGUUGGAACCGCUAGUAUUAUGAGGGGGUGGACUGUGGAACGCAGUGUUUAGAACGAGUGAAGUCAGAUCGUUAUGCCGCCAAAAAAUGGGGCUUAGUUGAGUCACAUUGAUUAGAUCAAACGGAAACUCUCUUGAAAUAGGGGGUGGAAGAAGGAGUGAGUAGUAGUAGGGAAAUAGUACGUCUCUACGAAUAGUAAAUUCUUAAGUGUACAGAUCGCCC
rnacentral:rRNA from 1 species